UGGGGAAUAUUGGACAAUGGGCGAAAGCCUGAUCCAGCCAUGCCGCGUGGGUGAUGAAGGCCUUAGGGUUGUAAAGCCCUUUCGGCGGGGAAGAUAAUGACGGUACCCGCAGAAGAAGCCCCGGCUAACUUCGUGCCAGCAGCCGCGGUAAUACGAAGGGGGCUAGCGUUGUUCGGAAUUACUGGGCGUAAAGCGCGCGUAGGCGGACUGGCAAGUCGGGGGUGAAAUGCCGAGGCUCAACCUCGGAACUGCCUUCGAUACUGCCAGUCUUGAGGUCGGGAGAGGUGAGUGGAACUCCGAGUGUAGAGGUGAAAUUCGUAGAUAUUCGGAAGAACACCAGUGGCGAAGGCGGCUCACUGGCCCGAUUCUGACGCUGAGGCGCGAAAGCGUGGGGAGCAAACA
rnacentral:rRNA from 1 species